rnacentral:lncRNA from 1 species
GAAAGGCCAACAUAAUAAUGUUUUAUUGAUCUAGGAACUCUGGCACUGAAAGCGUGAACAACCCAAGGUAACGAUGUCGUCACCAAGGGACGAGCAUAGAGCCCAAAUCCCUUGACUCCUAGGCUGAUGUUUUCCACUUAUUGUGUUCCUUUCUACUCAUACGAGUGCUUCAAGUGUGAAGGGCUGGGGAAGGCAGAAGACCUAUUAUGAGCCAAAUCGAGGUGGGGGGUGCUCUGAAGGUCUUCAGCAGUCGCCGCCGUUGACACUUUUCUUUGUUUUGGCUGAGCAAGAUGAAAGCGGCAACCACAGACCCCAGGGACCAAGAACUGGAACUAGGUACCGCCUGUUGUGGUAACUCUCUUUUCUUCAGUCGGGGCCUGCCCUUUCUCAUCUCUUCCUUCUAGUCAAGCUCUAACGCUCUCCCUCCGACUCCAUCGGUCCCUAUCUUCCCUCCUUCACCCCCUUUGCACACAACUGCUUUGAAUCCUCGUUGGACGGGGACCUCCUGGUGCUCCCUCCAGCUUUAGCAGGGAUUCCAGGCGCCUGGUGGUGUUCUCUAGAGCCAGGGGCUAGUCAGCACUGUAACACGCGAUUCAGUUGAGAAUCUACGGUGGGAGCCAGGGCAAACGCGCGUGUCGAGUGGGCGUUGGGGUUCCUCAGGACAAAGCACGAUUAGACAAU